GCCAGGUGCAGUGGUGUACACCUGUAAUCCCAGUUAUUUGGGAGGCUGAGGCAGAAGGAUCCUUAAUCUGAGGCUAGCCUGGGCCACUUAGCCAGAACCUGUCUCCA
rnacentral:sRNA from 1 species